GCUGGACGUGGUGGUGCGUGUCUGUAAUCCCAGCUACUUGGGAGGCUGAGGCAGGAGAAUCGUUUGAACCCAGGAGGGGGAGGCUGCAGUGAGCAGAGAUAGCAUCACUGUACUCCAGCCUGGGUGAUAGAGUGAGACCCUGUCUCAA
rnacentral:SRP_RNA from 1 species